CAUGUAUCACUCAGAACCAACUAACUUUGCACGUAAUGCUUACGGUUAGAUUCAUGCUUAGACUUACAUUUCAAGGGUCCCAUAUGCAGAAGUUCUUCAAGGAAAGUCGUCAAAUCCAGAGAUAGCUUUUAACAGUUACUUUAUUUGGUAAAGUAUUUCGGUAUGGUAAACUAAUACUAUGGAGCAAAAGGAGGUGGAAGCGUGUCUUUGCACGUGCUGAGCGACUCCCAGCUGACCAAAGCUAUAUUAACCCUAUCGUAUGGGCUGCCGAGAGUUUCUAACGAGCUCCUCGCUCGAUGUUUACUGUUAUGGUAGAAUGCACAUGGCCCGGAAGGAGUGGGCGGAGCCGGUGUGACGUAUUACCCUCGGCCUCCUCACCUGUCUGUGGUGCUGCCCUCUGUGGAUAGAGCAGCUAUUGCAGCCUUCAGUAAGGUCCUGCUCCCCUUAAGGCAGCACCUUUAGAUAGGUGAAGAAGCCGAGGCUAAUACGUCACAUAGGCCACGCCCACUUCAUAUAGGCCACGCCCACUUGACCCUAUCAAUCUCGACGGAGAGGUUGGACUUCAGAAACUCUUGGCAGCUCAGACUUGCGGGUUAGAGUUUUGAUCAGCUGGGAGUCGCUCAGCACGUGUUCGACACACUUCCCCUCCUUUUGCUCCGUAGUUACCAUACCGAAAUACUUAUAACAAAUAACAAUAACAAAUAAAGUCAGUUAAAAGCGAUCCGGAUUGGACUACUGUCUUCGAAGAAUUAAUUCAUAUUAAUGAUAUCCAUAAUUUAAAUUCUCACGAACACACUAAUCAACGAUUCAGUCUAAAACGAUCCAAUUUCAUGAUCUGGUUAAAUACAAAACUACCCAAACAAUCCUUAAAGCCGAAAUAAUAUGUUAUCGAAAAACAUACAGGCAAUGUUGGCGACAGCUACACUUCAAGGUCUGCAGCACACCCACACCAUGGGUGUUUCCCAAUGUCAAGGAAGCAUGCUCAACAGCCGCCCUUUUAAGGACGCUACGUCAUAAAACGCAGACAAGCCCUGUUCCAAUGUUGAGGACACUCGAAAGCCGCCGCAUUUUUGCGUCCUUUGUUUUUGAGAAUUCCCGAGAUUUUUCAAGGAUGCAUCGCUGCAUCCUAGACGAGCCCAAACUACCCACAAUCCUCUGCGUUCACACACUGCACGGGAUAUGAAUGAAAAUGGCAGAGGGAAAGCAGUGCACGUUCAAAUGGUCAGCGCAGCAAACGGAGGCUUUUGUGCACCUUAGGGUGGCGCACAAACAUGUGGUCAAAUAAAUGCACCACCGAUCAUUUGC
ensembl:lncRNA